UUUUGAAACUUUUUUCUUUCUUUUUUUGUUAUUUUUUGGAAUUUGAAUCAAUGCCACAAAUAAUUGGAAUUCCUCUUACAAAUGUCGAUUAUUUUUCUUACUACGGUUCUAUACUAGUUGGAAGUCGACACAACGAGCAGCGAGUAUCAUUUGACACAAUAGCCCAUGAAAUAUGGAUUCCUACUUAUUACGUCCAUGGAGUACCUAAUCCUUAUUGGGGAUUUGAAUCAGAUACUUAUGAAAAGGAGUCAGGCAAACGAUGAUGAAUAGAGACUUGUUAUACGCUAAUCUUUUCUCUCUUUGGAUGAGAGAUUAUGAAUAUGCUGGAGAUGACAGAGGGGAAAUAAUGUUUGGUGCCAUGAGUGUUAACCAUUACAACACAGCAGUAGGACAUGUGCAUUAUGACGUUGUUGAGUAUUGUCAUGAAUGGAUGAUUCAUAUGUCAUUCGUUUCUGUUGGACAAAACCAAGUACAUCCUCAAGGAGUCUCCAGGAAUAUACACUAGUGUAUUUAGACCCAUGGAUUUUUCUGACCAGAAUGUUGCAUAUUUGUAAGUAUAAUUAACUACAUAUUUUGUUUAUUCGAUAAAUAUUUUUUUUUAAAAUUUAUAUAUACUA